AUUGAACGCUGGCGGCAUGCCUAACACAUGCAAGUCGAACGGUAACGCAAGAAGCUUGCUUCUUGGCGACGAGUGGCGGACGGGUGAGUAAUACUUAGGAAUCUGCCCAGUAGUGGGGGACAACUCGGGGAAACUCGAGCUAAUACCGCAUACGCCCUACGGGGGAAAGCGGGGGAUCUUCGGACCUCGCGCUAUUGGAUGAGCCUAAGUCGGAUUAGCUUGUUGGUGGGGUAACGGCCUACCAAGGCGACGAUCCGUAGCUGGUCUGAGAGGACGAUCAGCCACACUGGGACUGAGACACGGCCCAGACUCCUACGGGAGGCAGCAGUGGGGAAUAUUGGACAAUGGGCGCAAGCCUGAUCCAGCAAUGCCGCGUGUGUGAAGAAGGCCUGCGGGUUGUAAAGCACUUUCAGUAGAGAAGAAAAGUUCAGGGUUAAUACCCCUGAUCCUUGACGUAACCUACAGAAGAAGCACCGGCUAACUCCGUG
rnacentral:rRNA from 1 species